GCAGCCUCAGCAGAGUUCAGCUUCUCGAUCCGGUCGCCGAAAGUCUCCGCGUUUCAUCCGUUUCCCGUCGCUUAAACCCGGCCAGACCGCGCGCAGACGAGCGGAACCGAUGGCUGCGAUGACUUCUGACGGUUCCGAGCAAGAGUCGCAGAGCCCGAGCGAACAAAACGGCGACGGGAGCGAGUCGGGCCUCCGCGCCGCAGAUCCGGAACCGGCCGUUAAGAUGGACGCUGCGGAGACCGACGAGAAGCCCAACGCACGCGAGUCUACGGAACAAAAAACGGAGGAAGCCACGCGGGGAGACGGCGGCAACGACGAGGAUGGCGAGACCGAAGCGGAGCCGGAGAAAGAGCCGCAGAAGAGCCCCGGCUGCGCGGACGGAACGGCGGAGCGGAUGAAGAGAGAACAAAGGGAGGAGGAGAGCGCGUCUUCACCGGCGGAGAAAACCGGCAGCGGCGGAGGAAUGAAGAGGCGAGCGAGUCUGGAGAUGAUGAGCUCGUCCUCGGAUGGAGAGCCGCUCAGCCGCAUGGACUCGGAGGACAGUAUCAGCAGUACUCUCAUGGACAUGGAGAGCAUUGCAUCCAGCGGUCGUUCUACCCCAGCUAUGAUGAACGGACACGGUGGGACGUCUUCCUCCUCCACUAAGGGCUCAUCUUACCCCUGCUGCUGGGAUCAGUGCCACAUGCUGUUCAACAGCAGCCCGGACCUGGCCGAACACAUCCGUGGAGUGCACGUGGACGGACAGCGCGGCGGGGUUUUCGUGUGUCUUUGGAAAGGCUGUAAGGUGUAUAACACACCGUCCACCAGUCAGAGCUGGCUGCAGAGACACAUGCUCUCACACAGUGGAGACAAACCAUUUAAGUGUGUGGUGGGAGGUUGCAAUGCCACCUUCGCCUCCCAGGGGGGGCUAGCGCGCCACGUACCGACCCACUUCAGCUCUCAGAAUUCCUCCAAACUCUCAAGCCAAACCAAGGUGAAGGAAGAGUCGCCUUCCAAAGCGGGCAUCAACAAACGAAGGAAACUCAAGUACAAACGGCGGAGGUCGUUGCGUAAGCCACGACCUCACGACUUUUUUGAUGCUCAGACCAUGGAUGCAAUCCGUCAUCGCGCCAUCUGCCUCAAUCUAGCCACUCAUAUUGAGAGCCAAGGCAAAGGCCACAGUGUUGUGUUUCACAGUACGGUGAUCGCCAGGCGGAAGGAGGAUUCUGGGAAAGUGAAGGUGCUGCUUCAUUGGACGCCGGAGGACAUACUUCCAGACGCCUGGGUGAGUGAGAGCGACCGUCCCCAGCUGAAGACCAAAGUGGUCCACCUCUCCCAGCUUCCUCAGGACACGGCAGUUCUGUUGGACCCCAACAUCUACAGGUCACACAACACCUCUGUGCUGACGUCAGUUGGGUCACUUGGCUCCUAAACCUGUCCUGAUUGGUCCAGUGGGUCAUUUCCUGUCCAGCCUUGUUCGCUCUCACUGUGAUUGAAUUUAGGUUAUCUUUGAGGCUGCUUUCUGAUGUCGUUUACAGGGUGUGAGUGACAGCUGUCGUCAUGUGCAAUGAGCAAUCCCAUCAUCCACGAGGCCUUUCAGUGCGGCUCCCAUUAAACCCCACGGGUAAAUGACGGACGUGUUCAUUCCGUUCCUCCAAUCAGCUUUGAGAGAAUGCCAAAUCCAUCUGCACUGUUGCCCUUUCACUCCCCAAAGACUCCCUGUGACCUCGUGACAUCUUCACUGUUAUUUUCAGUGGAUUAUAAAGCAAAUAGUUCUGCUCCUGGAUGCUGAUUGGUUAAUUCAACAGUA